rnacentral:tRNA from 1 species
GCGGAAGUACCCAAGUGGCCGAAGGGGCUCCCCUGCUAAGGGAGUAGGGUGUGUAAAAAGCGCCGCGGAGGUUCAAAUCCUCUCUUCCGCG